UACGUAGGGGGCAAGCGUUGUCCGGAUUUAUUGGGCGUAAAGAGCGUGUAGGCGGCUUGGUAGGUCCGCUGUGAAAACUCGAGGCUCAACCUCGAGAUGUCGGCGGAAACUACUUGGCUAGAGUCCGGAAGAGGAGAGUGGAAUUCCCGGUGUAGCGGUGAAAUGCGCAGAUAUCGGGAAGAACACCUAUGGCGAAGGCAGCUCUCUGGGACGGUACUGACGCUGAGACGCGAAAGCGUGGGGAGCGAACAGG
rnacentral:rRNA from 1 species